UUUAGAAGAAUCGAUAUUUGGAAUCUACACGCGCAUAUCGAACGUAUUGAUUAGCACCCGACACGCGAAUAAAUACCGAUACCCUUGUAAUAUAGAUAUAAGGCAGAUAAAGACUUCGACUAGCUUAUAGUUGUUACCUUGUUAGUAUAUCAGAGUUCGUCUAUAAACUUUAUGAUGACGCAUAACAUUCCUAACUGCCAAUGAAGAAACUAAAUGCUAGCUGCCUACUUGGCACUCGAUGGCAAAUCAGCUGUUGUAUUCGCGAUAUCGCUUCAAGUCUAAUUUUUCAUUCGUAGAUUUUUUUAUUCACAGAGUAAAUGAAGAAUUUGUUUGGGAAGUUUAUUUCAAACCUGGAUUUACUUAUGAUGAUGCUGAGCCUGCCGACUUUUUCGCGAAGCAAGUUUGGAUUCGUCGUGUACAGGCUUUCAUGGAUGGUCAUAGUGUUAUCGGUUUUUGCCGCCGAACCUGCUUAGAAAUACCGCAACAACUCAAUUGUUCAAUUCCCGUUUUACAUGACUUCAUGGUGCGAACUUCUCGUAGUGACUUACCGAAAUUUCGUCAUUAUCUGAAUCUUACCCGAAAGAAGAACAACUCAAGUCCUUGAAGGAAUUCCAGUUUUUUUGUUUUUUUACGAAGUUACCUUUGUUUCAUCCGUAACUGUGACAAUAAUUUAUUACAUUGUCCGCAUAGCGGAAAUCGGGGAGUAAACGCCAUAUCAAAUCUUUACCGACACGGUUUAAGUUGUAUAAUAUUGACGUCUGAUACGCUUGUAACUCAUCAUUCUGCUCAUUUUGCACAUUGGCUAUAUCGUUAUUUUUUUGGAGUCAUUUGUGUUUUUCCACGUUUCUUAUGUAUAAAAUUUCAAAAAAUAUUGACCAAAAUAUUGCUACAAUUCCUCAAAAGAUUGGUUUUUAGAUUGGGAUUCUGCUUCUUUUGCCCCCAUGUAUCUUUGCAUUGGUAUGCUUCCUGUAAUAUGUCUGAUUCAGAGUAUACUGAUUAUGUUGCAUUCCCAACGAGUGAAAUUUUUUUAUGCAAGCCCUAAUGUGUUUUGAAUUUGAUAAGCGUAUCACACUCUCUAGUUUAUACCAAAAAUGCUUUGUUUAUGUUGGAGCAUUUUUAUUCUUAUUUUUUGGUUAACGAAAUAAUAAUUUCUCUUCAUUUAUAAACCAUAUCAAAUAUAGGGGCCGCCCUCUUCAUUUUAGAUCUUCACAUGUCCCCACUUCAAUUUUCAUCUUCGAGGAAUAAAAGCAAUGAGCCACAAUAAAAUUUCCGAAUAAGCCAGUAUUUUGAAUGUAACUGAUUGUAUUUUGUUUUAUUGGGUUAUUUGAUCUUUUACAAUGGCGAUAUUCAAGUUUGUGACAUUUCGUCUGCCUUUGCUGACGCUUUUGCAGCAUUAUGGCACAUCUAUUUUCGUGCAAAA